UACGUAGGGUGCGAGCGUUUGUCCGGAAUUAUUGGGCGUAAAGGGCUCGUAGGCGGUUUGUCGCGUCGGGAGUGAAAUCCACUGGCUUAACUGGUGGCUUGCUUUCGAUACGGGCAGACUGGAGGUAUGCAGGGGAGAACGGAAUUCCUGGUGUAGCGGUGAAAUGCGCAGAUAUCAGGAGGAACACCUGAGGCGAAGGCGGCUUGCUGGGCAUGAUCUGACGCUGAGGCGCGAAAGCGUGGGGAGCAAACAGG
rnacentral:rRNA from 1 species